rnacentral:rRNA from 1 species
GACGAACGUUGGCGGCGUGCUUAAUACAUGCAAGUCAACUGAAGCAGUGGUAGCAAUAUCGCUGUGGAGGUGGCGCACGGGUGAGUAACACGUAGGUAAUCUGCCUUCAGGUCUGGCAUAACUCCGGGAAACCGGGGCUAAUAGCAGAUGAUGCAGCGGCUCGACAUCGAGACAGUUGUUAAAGCUAUGGCGCCUGAAGAUGAGCCUGCGUCUGAUUAGCUAGUUGGCGGGGUAACGGCCCACCAAGGCAACGAUCAGUAGCUGGUCUGAGAGGAUGAUCAGCCACACUGGAACUGAGACACGGUCCAGACUCCUACGGGAGGCAGCAGUAAGGAAUAUUGCUCAUUGGGAGAAAUCCUGAAGCAGCAACGCCGCGUGAGGGACGAAGGGCUUUUGCUUGUAAACCUCUGUAGUGAGAGAAAAAAAUCCCAAUCUUUGGGACAUGAUGGUAUCUCAAAAGUAAGCCCCGGCUAACUACGUG